UUUAGUGAAGAUUCAGAUUCAGAGUCUGUGAAGAGUGACCAGUUAAAAGGUGAAGUACCAGACUUCAGUGUGGAAACACCAUCAUCACCUACCAAAAGUGAAACAUCAUUCUCAGAUGUUGUCAGCUCUGUGUCUGUGAAGAGUGACCAAUCAAAAGGUGAUGGACCAAACUUAAGUGACAAAAAACCAUCAUCUGCCAAAAGUCAAAGAUCAGACUCAGAUGUGUUCAGCUCUGUGUCUGUGAAGAGUGACCAAUCAAAAGGUGAUGGGCCAAACUUAAGUGAGAAAAAAUCAACUACCAAAAGUAGGGAAAGAUCAGGCUCAGAUGUGUCCAGCUCUGUGUCUGUGAAGAGUCACCAGUCAAAAGGUGACGGACCCCAAUUUCAGCAAGAA